rnacentral:misc_RNA from 1 species
GAUGAAGAACGUAGCGAAAUGCGAUAAGUAAUGUGAAUUGCAGAAUUCCGUGAAUCAUCGAAUCUUUGAACGCACAUUGCGCCCGCCAGCACUCUGGCGGGCAUGCCUGUUCGAGCGUCAUUUCAACCAUCAAGCCCCCAGGGGCUUGUGCUGGGGCCCUGCGGCUGCCCGCAGGCCCUGAAAACCAGUGGCGGGCUCGCUAGUCACACCGAGCGCAGUAGCACAUCUCGCUCAGGGCGUGCGGCGGGCUCCUGCCGUGAAACCCCCCACUGUAACCCCAAAGGUUGACCUCGGAUCAGGUAGGAAUACCCGCUGAACUUAAGCAUAUCAAUAAGCGGAGGA